UAUCAGCUUAUAGUAUUACCAUUGGAAAAAGUUAGAUGUCUUCAUAAUAACUGCAGCACACAAUGCCUGUCUUCACUCUAUGCGCUACCAUACAGUUCCCCAGCUUCGGCCAAAGGGCUGGAGGUUGAAACACACAAAAACACACAGACAGAGAGACAGAGUCACUGGUAAGAAGCCCUUUAUUCAAAACCACCAUGGAGGCUUAUAUACCUAACAGUCGAGUGGGCCAACAGGUGAAAACCUUAUCCUCCGAUCCUCAAGGCCAAGGCAACACGUGCUCGUGAAGCAGAGCUGGUAACACAGCCUUUAGUAACUCAAAUCAGAAGGAAAGUAAAGAUCUCUAGCAGGGAAGAGCAGCUGGAUGCCUGAACUCCAAAUGGUCCCAACAAAUAACUUUUUUUGAUAUAUGAUCUUGCAUAGAAAUGUGAUGUUUUUGUCUUUUGCAUUCUUUUGUCAUGUAGAACUGACUGGAAUAUAUAGAACACAGAUAGGGACUAUUGAGAGAUGGGUAAGAAUCUCAGAGACUGAACACUGGCAUCCUUAAACAGCAGUGUCUUGUGGACAUGAUCCAUUAUGCACUCCUUCUGUAGAAAGAUAAAACAGUAGGCCUUAUCUUCAGUGAAGUUACUGAGUGUGUAGUGAUUGUAGGAAUGGGAGUCACUCCAAAACCCUUGGAUGUAAUUUGUAGAUAGUGGCUAGAUAACUUCAACUUAGCCUUCUUUUGUUUAUCAUGCUUUCUAUCCCACUGUGUCCAUGGCUUGUGUCUCCCACAGUGGAUUCUUUAGGAGUGGAAUUAUCUACAGGUAAAUUCUUAGCAAGGGAGAGAAAAUGAAGUGGCUAAGUGGGUGUAUUGUGAACAGAUGAAAGUAUUGACUUCUCUACAGAUAGCUCCAUCUGAUAGCUGUGUGGGUACUUUGUAUGUCAUUGAUGCUCCAGCAUUCUGAAGGCCCUGCUGCUCUGUGUGUCUGUGUGUGUGUUUAUGAUACAUGUGUUUAUAUCAAUGUGUGAGUGUACCAAGUGCCAUGGCCGAGACACUCAUGUCGCUCCCUUUAUUUGAGAUAGGGUCUCUCUUGUUUCUUCACCUCUAAGUACUCCAGUAGUUGACGAGGAAUUUCUAGUAUUUCUGCCUCUGCCCCCAUCAUCCAGUAGACACACACUGGGGUUACAAACUGAGAACCAAGGAUAUUGCAUCUGGAUUUCUCUGGGGACCUGAAAUCAGGUCAAGUGUUUUAUCCACUCAGUUAUUUCCCAUCUCCUGAAGUUUUAAUUGAUGUGACUGUAACCAGUUGCCCUCAGUGCAAGUGUUUGUGAUUCUGGUUUCUCAGGGGAAAAAAGAGAUCAUUCCAGCCACAUAACAUAUUCUAAAACUCCUUGAAAUUCCCUCCAUUGGUCUGACCCUCUUGAAGUUUUGUAAUUUAUUUUCUCACAUUCUUGGAGUGUUUCCUGAUGUCACAAAGAUUAAUUCAUAUAUGAAUAACCAGGUGCAAUGGGAAGUCUUUAAAACUAUUUUAUUUUAAAUUGUCAGUUGCUAAGUAAAUAGAAACAUGAUGUUUGAUCUUGUAGAAGAUUUUACUUACAUGGUAUAGCAAGAUAUAUUUUAAGAUAAUAUGGGUAGCAUUGGGGUCACUAGCAAUGAAGUUCAUUUGAUCACAGUGCAUAUGACUUCAUGGUUGAUAACCUAUGCUGUUUUCAUUACAUUUAGUAUAUUAGCAAGUUUUUGUAAUAAUAGUCUAACAACUUCCUUAAGUCUUUGUAAAAUAUGCAGUUCAAGAAAGUAUAAAUUAAAAAGUAAAUGAAGCCUAUUGUCUAAUAUUGUGAUGUAUUCAUUUAAAACGUUUCCAAUCGAAUACAGAAUAGUACAAUAGAAUAACAAAUGGUUUAGCUUUUGUGGGUAUGGUUAAGUCUUUGUGGAUUCUGUGUCAUCAGAAUGUCAAGUCAGCUUCACGAGCCAACGACAGUAAACGAUCCACUGGUAUUUUCACAUUUAGCAUAAAAUUAUCAUGUAGCUAUUAUAAGCCUGAGGUUGGAGUUCUUAGGCUUCCAGGCAUUGAGGGUUUGGGAUGGUGGCAUGUGAGCAAAUGAGGAACAGCAUGAAAAAUAUCCGCUCCCCUGGCAGACAUUCAUCCUGCGCUAAUCUGCCACAGUACCUCUGGACUUCUUCUGUAUUGAUAGCCCUUUUUAUACAAGCGAAUGCUGAAAGCUGUCUCAUUAAUGCGCUGAAUGGAUAGUGCUGUUUAACCGAUGCCAUUCGCAGGUCUUCCUUAUCAACGUGUAAUAAUCCAUCAUGGGAGUCAAUUCCUUUCCUAGGCCUUUCUCACUGCAGAACGUUUCUCCUAGAAACCAGAGCUGCCCUUCCACUUCCCUUGAGCAUCACUCUUCCCCUCUUGCACAGAGAAUGUGCACCUGACUUCUCCCUCUCCCUCUUCUCCUCUCCCUCCCUCUGAAUUAAGGCCCUCUGGGCCCAUCUUUACAUGGCUUCUGAUGUGUUUGACAAUCGCUGAUGCCUCUCUGGGCUUCAGCUCGUGGAGUAAGCCAUGUAAGGUAUGAGCUUUUCUGACAGAUUAGAAGGUGCUUUGUAACAAGAGGAAAAAUCAAAUCAAAUGCUUGUCACAGGGAAUUCCGAGUGCUGUUGGAAGGCGGAAGGAGCAUGAAAGAGGAGCUGCUGAGUGAAGGGGGAAACACAGUCUAAUAAGAUAUAAAUAGAGGAAAAUAGCAUCAACUGGGGAGACAGAAGAGAUGCUCCUCAGAGGAUCUGGAACAAUGUCUGUGUUUCACAUUUUAACAAGCCACCAUGCAAAUAUGUAAGACUCAUAACAGUAAAAAUAGUCCACUGUAAUAAUCAGUGGAUGUGUAUGUGACAAUUAUAAAUGUUCAGUAUGGCGAAGACUACUGCAGAAAGACUAAUGGGAAAGACAAAAGUAUGUAUUAGCUCAGGUUAUGUCGCAUCAUGGUACAAGGUUACAAAAGAAGUAUGAAUAUAUCUAGGUAAAUUUUGUGCAUAGAGACAAAGAUGAGUCUACUAACAUAGUAAAAUGGUGCAAUUAAACGGUGACACUAUAUACGAUAUUUUAAAAAAAUCCCACAUUUUCUAAAUUUUCUUUUAGGAUAAGCAACCUUACUGAUGCUAAAAUAUAAAUAAAAAGAAAUAUGGUUUAUGUAUCCCAUUCAAAAGAAAAAUUAUGAGCAAGCUUCAGGCUAUAAAGGCAAAGAUUAAACCAUACAAAUAUGAAGAAAUAUAAUCACAUAUUAGCUACACUGGGCCUUUGGUCUAUUAGCAACAAGACCAAAGGAAGCUGAGAUUAAUGAAAGGACCAAAGGUACCAUUGUGGUUUCUUAGCCAUCAAGCUACAAAAGCUAAGAAGUAAAUUAGAUAUAGUGAUAAGUUUUGUUUUCAGGAUUGUAAAUAAAACCUGUUUAGAGUGAGAAAAGUAUUUUCUUUUAGUUUUUAUUUUGUUUCAAGGAUGUCCAAAGUGAUGCAGACACAUGAAAGAACAAUAAGUUAUAUUGAUAAGGGUCUAAUAAGUCAUUUGGUAAAGGUGAAUGGUAUGGUUAAUGAAAUGGUGUAUUUCAAUGGUUAUGUUGAUUGAGUUAAGAAACAUUCAGGGCAUUAAGGAGAUAUCACCAUGUGAGGACAUCUCCAGAGGAUUUAAUGGAAGACCCAUCCUGAGUGUAGCAGCAUCCUAUGGGCUGGAGGUCUAGACUCAAUAAGAAAGGAAAAAAGAGAAAGACAGCUGAGCAAUGGUAUUCCUGUUUCUCAGCUACCCAGUUAGAUGCCUUAAGAUAAAGCCCCACACAUGUGCUUAACUCAUCAACAUCAAAAUUCAUUAGAAAGGAGAAAACCUGAAUUAAUAAUGCAAUUGAAUAGGUCACCGUCAUAAAAACAACUGCUGAGGGAACUAUUUUUUAUAGUUUUUGAUGUCAAAAUAAACAGAGUUCACUACCUGUGUGAUAGAGGGGGACGCACUGAAUCUCCAGCUAGAAGUAAAAUAGAUUUGGUGUUCAUGGAGCCUUGGCCUAUGAUCUUCAAAGACCACUGAGGCCAGGCAAUGUGUACAAAGAAUCAGUGCCUGCCAGGAGGCCUCAAGAGGCCAGAGCUGAGAGAUGAAGUCUAAGUUGCAACAGAGAGCCAAUGUUUGAUGUGCCGGAACUAUGGGAUGUCUCCUGAGAAAUGCGGCAGGCAUGGAUUAGAGCUGGCCCAAGAGAGAGGUCACAUGAGCUGUGACUGUCAAACCAGAAGGGCAGGGCCACUCAUGACCUUAGGAGUCUAGAAAAUGCUAUCACGAGCCCUAGAUGUUUGACAUGGAUCUGCAGGGUUUCUCCUUUCCCUGCUGGUUUCCUCCUUGCUCUGAUCCUAUUAUUUCCUGCUCUUCUCCCUAUCUGUGCUGGGAAUGCUUACUCGGUGUCAUUGUGUGCUGGAAUUAAUUAAUGUAUGUGUUGAUUUUCUGAGCAUUAACAGUUAGGAGAUUGCCUUGAGUUGCGAAGAGAUUUGGGACUUCGAACUUUACAACAGUGUUAAGACUAUGGGAACUUCUGAAAUUAGAGUAGCUGUAUUUUGCAUUAAGAGACAGGUAUGAGUAAGUGGUGGCCAGGAGUGAAAUGCUACUGUUUAAAGCUAUGCACUUGGAUGUCACAUUGAAAAAGAGUGGUCAUGACAUAAUUAAUUCUGAUUUCAAUUUGAGAGUGUUAAAAAAAAAAAACAAACAAACAAGCAAACGAGAAACAUGCACCUAGAAAAUCAACGAGACACAUUGGUGAGUGUAUCUGUGAAGUUGCUCCCAAAGAUGUUUAACUUUGGAAGAAAAACCCAUUUUUAAUUUGGACACCACCACCCUAAAGGGUAGGAAACCAAACUGAAUAAAGGACAGAAAGGAGAAAGUCAGCACUCAGCAUUGUAUUGUUCCUCAUUGGCAAUGCUAAUCAAGCUGAAUCUGCUUCCAUGUCUUUCCCACCAUGAUGAACUGUAAUCCUCUGAACUGUGACCUAAAAUAAAUUCUUCCUUUCUAUGUUGUUUUUUUUUGCCAGGAAUUUGGUCACUUCAGGAGGAGUGUUGUGCAGAUACUAUUUUCAUUUCCAAAUACACACAGUCAUAUUUUCAUAACUAAGAAAUAAACUAUGCAACACAUACCUUUUAGUAGAUAUAACCAAGAAACUGAUAUAUAUUAAAGCUACAGAAGAACAAAUAAUGCUUUUUAAAAGUGUUCAUAAAAAUAUCACACAGGGUCUGGGGAGAUAACUCAUAACUCAACCAACAAAAAUUCUGGUGUACAUACAUGAAAACUUGUGCUAGAUACCCAACACCCACACAAUACAUGUGCUGUGUGGUGUGAUGGAAUAUGUUUUUAAUAUUCAUGAAGCUUGCUGGCCUAACCUAAUUGUUGAAUCAUGUAAACCAAUUAAGAAAACCUGUCUCAAAAAAACAAGGUGAAUGGCUGCUGAGGGCGAAUAAUCAAAGCUGAUCUCCUGUGUUCACACAGCUGCAAAUACCCAUGCUCCUACUCACUCACAACUCCCCCCACAAAUGUCAUACAGUUACAAUCUAAACAAUGGUUACUACUUGUAGGGAUAAGCAAAUUUAUGUAUGGUGUAUAUAGAGAGAUGCAAACAGCUAUUAUAAGGAAGAUGAAUAUUUACAAAAAUAUUUCCUGUAUAAAUAUUAAUACGUAGCAAAUAUUUUUAUGAUAUUGGAAAAAGGGACAAUUGUGGAAAAGGGGGAGGUAUGUUAAGGGGAGAAAGGACAGAAGAAGAACAUAGAAAAUAAAUAUAGUCAAACUCUAUUGAUUGGGAAAGUCAGUAUGAAAUCUCUGUAUAAAAAUGUACAACAGAAACAAAUAAAAUGCAUGCCAGCGUUACUGUGAUGCAUAUUUUCUUUUUGUGUAUCUGUACUUUGAAUAACUCCUAUGAUAAAAAUUUCACAUUGCUUUAAAGGUUUAUAAAAUAUAUAUGUUGUUUUAAAAAUGCCGUGCUUAUUAGAUAAACUUUAAAUCUUAUCUUUGUUUGAUCAUCCCAAUCCCUAAAGCAGAUGAGCUCUAUAACCACCAGCCCUACUUCCUUCCAGGUGAACCAAAUCAGCGUCUGAUACAGUUGGCCACCAUGGAAAGCAGGCCCUUUCUCUUUACAUAGGGAAAGCAGUUUAUAUAAACUGGGGUUGAAUUUUUUCUUAACGCAGUUGAAGUUCCUAGCUCUGGGGAGCUGCAACUAAUGGUUGCUCUGGUUUUGAUUCUCUUGUAUGUAACACAUUACAGCAAGCAAAGAAGUGUAACGAGGAGGAGUAAAUAGGACAUCCAAGUGCUCUCUGGAGAAGGAUGCUCACACAAACGGAAAGCAUGACUGUGGUACUCACUCUCAUUGCAAUCUUUAGCACAGUCUCAAGGCCAUGCCUGAAUUGUGCUAAGUGAAAUGAAUUUCGGAAAUGCAAUUUACAUUAACCACCUUUUACUUAUCUUUACUUAGACGACAAACUGGGCUCUUGACAAAUUUCCUUCAGUGUGGCACACUGUAUACUAAUUGACCAGCUAGUGUGAGUACUCCCAGGUAAAGAAAGCAUGUUUAUUACUGGAACUCCAUUCCAGCUCAUUUUCAUAAUGAUAUUUUAUGAUGAUGGAGCUAGAGGAGAAAGGUCCGGGACACUGAGGAAGCAUCGGAAGCACUAAGAUGCAAUAUGUUUCUAUCUUGCCACCCUAAAUUUGUGCAGCAUAUGCACAAGACAGUAAUAAAACUGGAAUUAAAGCUGAUGAGAUCAAAAUGAAGCAACAAGACAAUUCUAGUGAACAGGUCAGACGCUACCCAUAUACAGAUGGUGUUUAUUACAGACACAGAGAGAGACUGGAAUUCUGCAUGCUUCUGUAGACCAUACUUUGCAUUACAGGUAUUUGGGUACUCAUGGGAAGCGAGGAAGAAAAAGACACAUCGAACACCACAUAAGUUAAUACCACAUUUAAAACUUAAAAAAAUUGGUGUUGGAACUGAAAUUAUUUCUGGAGAAGCAUAAGAAUUAUCCACCACUGUUUACCUUAGAGAUGAAUCCUAGAUAGUGGGUAUAGCCUGGUGCUCUUUGAUCUAAAUUCUUCAAAUUAUUCACUGUGCUGUUUUAGGUAAAGUAACUUGACCUUCUUCAGGAUCCUUUAUCUUCCCAAACUAGAACAAUGUUGUUCACCUUUGUUUUGAGGAUUAAGUUCGUCAAUCCCUGAAAAGAAUUUGAUAUUGAGUUGUCUAUUCAUUGAACCAGAUAAAGUUUAGGGGCUGUAGUUAAUACUUAUAAGGUAUUUCUUAGUUUAUGAAUGUAACCAAAUACAUAAAAGAUGGAGCGGAUCAAGAAACCCAACUCUAAAAGCUGUUCCCUACAGAGGGGAAGGGACAGUGGGCAAAGGCGGGGAAUUAAGCAUUUACAGUGUAGAAAGGAAGAGAAUAUUUGGUGCUGGAGAAAGUGUUUCCUAAGAAAUUUCCUAAGAAUGAUCCUUCAUCAAACAGGCUUGAUAUAUUCUGAGUUAGUAAAGGCUCUGUAUUUACUUUAUAAAUUCUCAGGAUUUUUUUCUCUACUGUCACAUGUUCUGAGUCUCUGGGGGUAAAGGGUAAGAAGGAAGAAAAUUAGUAACAUUUACCAAGCUUGGUUAAUCAAACAAUUCUUUCUUCACCGGACAGCUUAUUGUAUUUACAUCCCCAAGGACACAAUUAAGAAGUAAUGAUGGAAUGAGAUGGAGGAGGUGCUGUCUCUUUGGAGCCUGCCUCUUGUAUAGAAUAUCAAAAAUAUAUGGCAAAUCGUGAGGGCUUUCACUUUUGUCUGUAAAGGAAGCAAAUAUCUUGACGAAUGUUGGAGUUUGGCUGUAGUAUAUUUCCACAAUUUCAUGGUCUAGAAGCUUAGUCUUCAGGUUGACACCGUUGAACUGGUUGGACCUUCACAAGUUGCUUAGAUCAUGGAGCUUUCACUUAUAUCCAGGAUUACAGUACAUUUUGUGAAACCAGUGGAUGGUGACUAACACAGAAACACAACUGAUCAAAAUUUGAGUCCUCAGCCACAAAUGGGACUUCUGUGUUGCACUCGAUGUAUGCAAGGCUCAGGGGUCAGCAUAAAAGAAUGAGUGGAAAGUUGAACAGAAAGCCAUGGGCAAAUCACUGUCUUCUGAACACAAGAGGAUACUGGACUUAUUAGCAGCUGGUAUGAAUGCCUACAUGAGACCUGUAUAAGAUCAAGCCAGCCAAUAUUCCACCAUGGAAAGUAUGGAUGCUCGUGGGACCCACACUUAAUUGACGAGCUAUUGGCCAUUGAUAAUGAGAUGUAAAGCAUAUUUUUAAAAAUUCCUUCUGCAGGAUUUCUUGGAGGGGAGGGACCUGAGAACGUCCAAUGUAGACUGUUUAAUUUCUGGUUUGGUUAUUAUCUGCUUCUGGAAAAAAAAAGCCUCGUUGAUGAUGACUAGACAAGGCACCGCUCUAUGAAGAACCAGAUACACUUCAAAGUGUCCAAGAGAAGAACUAGAUCCUGAAGUCUUGAGGACCUCACCAUUGCUGCACGAGUUAAUUCAGCUGGAGCUGCCAAUCACUUGGCCAGAAAUCUAUCCUCACAAGAAAUCUGAUUCAUCUGAAGGCAAAGUGGAGAGAAAAGGACUACUCAUUGCCUUGAUGAAAUAAUGUACUUAUCUUCCCCAGGAUCUGCUCCUCUGAUGCAGUUACUUGAAGGGCUUCCAACCUGUACCUCUGAUGAGCUUGUUCACUUGGUUGAGUUCUAACUCAGAAACAUAAUUUUUCCUUCUCUUCUUCCCAUCUCUAUUUCUUUCUGAUACUAGUGAAGUGCCAAGUGUGAUUUCUCUGGCUCUCUGAACUUCCUUUGCAUUCUGCUCCUCCUCCACGAUGCAGUGUUUGCAGACCUCCAUUGCUGAACUGGCCUUUUAUCUUGAAGAUGUGAUUUUCCUCUCUUCCCUCUCCACCUCCCUCCAUCAGGUUACUGCCACGAUUUAUAACUUAAUUGCCUUGUUGGCCUGUUAAUUUUAUCCCAGCCACUAAUAAUGUCCUGUGCUUCCUUCUGAGACCAUUUAAAAUUAUUUUAUUAACAAAAAUUAAUAAUCCCUAAAGGAAAUCUUGAGUCUCUCUACUAAUAUUGUAAUUAGCUUUUUCUGGGGAUAGGGUGAAUUUGAUUCUUUUGAGAUAGGGUCUCAUGAGCCCACGUUGUCCUUAAACUUACCUAUGAGUUGAUACUGCAGUAGGGUUAGCGUUCACUGAGAAUGAACUCUGCCUUCUACUUUCUUAGUAACACUUUGCCAUUCCUCUGGCAUUCUAGUCAAAAGUUUGGAUUAUUUUUGUCCCUUGGUGGAGUCCUGGUAUUCUGAUAUGUUUCAAAGAUUAUAGUUUAUUUUUUAUUGAAAUAAAAAUACUGUAUAUUAUUUCUUCUCCCUUAAGAUUUAAUCCACCUGGGACUAUCAAUCACCUGGCUAGAAAAUCACCUCUCAGGAAAACUGUUCACUUGCUAAACAGAAUAAUUAUCACAUUAAUAUGAUUAUUAAACUUUCUGCCCCAGAAACCCUGGGUCUGUGCAACUGACUGCAGAGCUUCUUCGUGUAACACUUGUGGGAUGCCCAUAUUUCUGAGUAAGUCUUGAAAGCAUAACUUUCCUUUUCUUCCUUUUCUAUCUCUUUUCCUUACUGGUCAAAUCAUGAGCAUGCUUUCCCUGACUUUCUGUUUGCUUACUCACUCUCUGAAGACCCCUGUACACACAUACUUCCCGUCUACUUCCAUGCACCUACUUCUCUUGAAUAUGACUGCUUGCUGACCCUCUGUGUUUAACCUAUCUAAAUUCUUGGGUCCCGCUGUAAAAGGUGCGUCUUCCUCUUCACAUUUCCCAUCUCUCUUUUCUUGGUUGCUGCUGAGAUUUUAUAGCUUGUCUGCUCUGUUGUUUUUCUUACAAACACCAAUAAAUGUUCCGCAAGUCCUUUUCUAAAUUCUUUUAAUUUCCCAGAUAUUUCUGAGGUUGGCCUUGAAUUUCUGAUCUUCCCUUCCCUAUGUUCUCAUUGCUGGAAUUACAGGUAUGUAGCACUCUGCCUUGAAACCUUGAUAUUUUCAUAUAAAACUUAGAAUUGAGUUCUCAAUUUUUACCCUGAAAUCCUGAUAGAAUUUUGGGGUGUUUUUUGUUAGACUGAAAAUCAAUUUGAAGUAAAAUAUGUUCGCUAAUAGUGUCUCUUUCACACCAUGAACUGUGCAAUCAGUAUUUCACGUCUCUGUUUGUUCUCAAUAAUAAUUCAUAGACUUCUGCGAAUGGUUUUCUUAUUCCAAUUCGUUGAGAGCUAUUACAUGUUUCAUACCAUUACCAUGAAAAAAAAGAUUUCCUAAGGUAAGUGUGAUGGUUUAUACCUGUAAUCUUAGAACUUGAAAGGCUGAGGGAGCAGGGUUACUAAGAAUUCAAGCAAAUAUUUAGAAAAUCAUACUGAAAAUAAUUUUUCUUUUUUUCAGAUGUAUUCUAAUUACAUUUGUCCACUCCCUUACUUCCCUCCGAGCCCUCACUUUAUUAUACCUACUUUUCCUCAGAUCCAUGGACUCUCUUUAUAUCAAUUGUUAUUACAGGCAUAUUUAUUUGUGUGUAUACAUAUUUGCAUAUAUUAUAUAUUUGUAUGUACAUAUAUUUGCAUUUGUUCACAGAUAUGUAUUUAUAACUUUAACCCCUUGAGGCCAUAUAAUAUUACUUGUGUAUAUGUUUUUGGCAUUGGCCAUUUGGUAUUGGAUAACUGAUUGCUGUGCUCUUCCUGGGAAAGGACCGCGUUUCCCACCUCAGCUUUACUUGUUUGCCCUUAGUUCUUCGUGAAGGGUCAAGACUCUGUGGGCUUUUUCCUUCCAGUUUGACAUAUUGUCUUGCAUUCCUGAUCAGCUCACAAUUGGGCAGUUGUGUUGGUGAGAAUUUAUGUUUUGAUUCUGUGACACAACUUCACAGUAAAUUCCUUGAUUGGCUUGCUUUUGCGAUCUCUCUGCACCUUCUUCCACAGUGCUCCCUGAGCCCUGGGUAUGGGUCUGUGUUAUAGAUAUAUUCCUUGGAUCUGGGCUCCACAAGGUUCUGCAAUUCAUCUGUGAAUUUUUUGGGAUUUUAACAUACAUAGUCUUAUUUAUGUAUCCUGAAAAAUUCUAUCUUCAUUUACAGUAUAUAAAUUAUAUAUAAUAUAUAUAUAUAAAUAGAUACAUUUAAAGUUUAU